UUUCACCUUUCGGUAGUCUCUGAGUUUAUGCGGGUUUUAUUCAACAGGUUUCCAAAGUCGGUUUUUAUUAUCUCACCCUUUUUACUCACCUUUUGCUACAGAACCUUUACUUCCUGCUGCUACUAAGAUCCAAGCCCCCGUUCACCACAGCUAACGUUUUUCUUCACCGCAGAGUUGGUUCCCUCCUAGGGACCGCUGUUGGAACAUCUGGACUCAGCUUCCAGAGACACACGGGCUUCAAUAUGUCACCUUCCACGUGUGGACAUGCGAUCUUGCUUGAAUGGAGUUUGUUUCUGGAGCUGUGGUGAACUGUAAGGAGAAGAAACAGAACUUGAGAAUGAAAUGGGGCACUACUGAUUACACAGGGCCAGCAGGCAUAAACCAGAACUGUCUUGGGGAAACUGGGACAAAGCCCACCGGGACCCUGAGACCCACUGAUGAUGUGCGUCGCUUGCUGGUUCUCUUAAGGCUCUCAGGAUGGCGUUCAGUUGUCUUCAAGAUGAUCUCGAGCGCACUUCGGCGCAUCAGGCAGGUGGCGACCAUCACGACGGCUGACACAGUUAUGACGGCAAGGUUCACAGCGACAACCAUAGCAAUAACGUGGACACGCGGAGCAUAACGCGGUCUCCAACACCGACAACAUCUGGAGCCUAGGAGGCCCACGAUAAGUAUUUGCUGGAUCCAUGAAUAAAUUAGCACCCGUUGUCACAAUCUUCAUUUUUCCUGGUUUUACUGAGUGCCCCAAGUGAAUCGCUGACUUACACCGAUGACCAUUGUUUUAGAGUAACUAUCCUUAACCUGUGAGGCAAGAACCCUUCCUGUUCCAGUUUUCAAAGAGUUAUGGCUGAAAAGGGGGCUGAAAGGUAUCAGAUGUAUUUGCAACACCUUUGAGACGCUUCUCUAACUUUCUAUUCAAACACAUCAAUAUAACGGAUCGCUUAAAUGUUACAAC